GCCGAAGUGGUGGAACUUGGUAGACACGCCAUCUUGAGGGGGUGGUAGGCUAUGCCUGUGCGGGUUCGAGUCCCGCCUUCGGCACCA
rnacentral:tRNA from 1 species